rnacentral:rRNA from 1 species
UACAGAGGGGGCAAGCGUUAUUCGGAAUUAUUGGGCGUAAAGGGCGCGUAGGCGGCCUGGCAAGUGGAAGGUGAAAUCCCUCGGCUUAACCGAGGAACUGCCCUCCAAACUGCUUGGCUUGAGUCCGGGAGAGGUGAGUGGAAUUCCCAGUGUAGCGGUGAAAUGCGUAGAUAUUGGGAGGAACACCAGUGGCGAAGGCGGCUCACUGGACUGGUACUGACGCUGAGGCGCGAAAGCGUGGGGAGCAAACAGG